rnacentral:rRNA from 1 species
GAUGAACGCUAGCGGGAGGCUUAAUACAUGCAAGUCGAGGGGUAGAUAGUCUUCGGAUUAUCGAGACCGGCGCACGGGUGCAUAACGCGUACACAACAUGCCUUAUACUGGGGUAUAGCUUCGGGAAACUGAUGGUAAUCCCCCACUGACAUUGCGGAAUCGCAUGGUUCUGCAAUUAAAGUUACAGGCGGUAUAAGAUUGGUGUGCGUUUGUAUUAGGUAGUUGGUAGGGUAACGGCCUACCAAGCCGACGAUCAAUAGCUGGCGUGAGAGCGCGACCAGCCACACUGGAACUGAGACACGGUCCAGACUCCUACGGGAGGCAGCAGU